rnacentral:lncRNA from 1 species
UUCCUUAUGAUUUUCACUAUCACCGGGUUUUCCCUUUUCUUCACCAUCCGUCUUUUCUUUGGCUUCAAUAUUUGACUUUUCCUGACCCUUUUGCACAUUGUUACCUUCUAUCUCACCAUCUGUAUUCCCUUUGUUAUCAUGUUUUGAUUCUUCCAAACCCUUUUGCACGUUAUCAACUUCUUUCACACCAUUCGUCUCUCCUCUGGUUUUAAGAUUUGAUUCUUUCUGACCUUUUUGCUCAUUAUCACCUUCUUUCGCACCAUCCAUCACUCCUUUGGAUUCCUG